rnacentral:lncRNA from 1 species
ACCGUUGACAAGGAAAUUUGGUUAUUUUUAGGCAUAUAAUUAUAUUUUAAUCAGUUUGACCAUAAGGUAAAAUUUUUGAAAAGCAUUUAUAAUUUUUUAUUAAGGAGCAUAUUAAUGCUCCAAGAAAACUCUAUUUGUUUUUGCAUUGUUUCGAAUUUUCUUUUUCAUUUCUUAACAUUUAUAUCUACUGAAAUAUAUAAAUUGGUAACAUAAUUUCAAAAUUAAAAACCCUUUCCCAUUAUUUCUUACAUUUAUCAAUCAUUCUCUUUAGGUAACCAGAUUUAUAACAUUUGCUUUAUCAUUUCUUUGCUUAUUUUUGCCAAGGUAUUUACUAUAAAUGGCAACACACUAUUUACACUACUUUACACUUUCCUCUUUGUUACUUAACAAUAUAUAUCCUUGCUAUCAUUCCUUAGCAGUUGAUAGAGACAUUUUUCCUUUUUUUAAAUCUCUGCAUUGUAAAAAAUUGUGUGGCUAUACCUUAGUUUAUUUAGCUAUUUUUAUGUGUGAGCAUUAAGAUUACUUCCAAUAGUGUGACCUUAUAGUUGAUGCUACAAUUAAUAACUGUGAUUAUUUUCAUAUUGUUUUAGGUGUGUAAUUUCAAGGAAUUUCUUAGUAGUGGGCUUACUGCAUCAGUUUCUCUGCUUAGUGCCAUAUUUCCAGCCAUAGAAAUUCUACCAUUCCUCCUUCCCU